UAAACUUUUCUAAAUUACAUUUUGACCCCUAAACUUUCUCAAAAUUACAUUUGGACCUUAAAAUUUCUCAAAAUUACGUUUCGGCCCCAAAAGAUUUACUGCCAUUACAUUUUGGUCCCUCUGGCAGCCACUGACGCAAGUUGCACCUGCAACGCGCGGCGGUCGACCUAGGCCCUCCCUACCACCUGCAAAAAGAAGCAAAAAUCAAGCAUAAAAAGGGACUUUCUCCCAAAAAAAAAAGGACCCCCACAAAAUAAAAAAAAAGCAAGAAGCAAAACCAAGAAAAAAAAAUAUUGAGCGGAAAAAAGCAAAAACAACAGCAAAAAAGGCCCAUCGCCGCCAUCGUGCCCGUGCCACCACACCCGCCACCGCAACAUCACCGUCCCGAUACCCAGCAAAACAACCAAGAGGCAAAAAAAGAAAAAAAACAAGCAAGCAAAAGAGGAAAAAAGAAAGAGUAAAGAAGAAAAAAGAAGAAAAGAGAGGAGAGCUCCUCCGCACGCCGCCGUUGGCCGUCGCACCAGGCAGGGGGAGCAUCGUCGGCAACACAAGGGGCUGCUGCUGAAAGGAGAAGGAAGAAAAAUGGAAGAAGAAAGAAAGAAAGAAAGAAAGAAAGAAGAAAGAA
rnacentral:lncRNA from 1 species